GAGUUUGAUCAUGGCUCAGAUUGAACGCUGGCGGCAUGCCUUACACAUGCAAGUCGAACGGCAGCACGGGGGCAACCCUGGUGGCGAGUGGCGAACGGGUGAGUAAUACAUCGGAACGUGUCCUGGAGUGGGGGAUAGCCCGGCGAAAGCCGGAUUAAUACCGCAUACGAUCUCUGGAUGAAAGCGGGGGACCGAAAGGCCUCGCGCUCAAGGGGCGGCCGAUGGCAGAUUAGCUAGUUGGUGGGGUAAAGGCCUACCAAGGCGACGAUCUGUAGCUGGUCUGAGAGGACGACCAGCCACACUGGGACUGAGACACGGCCCAGACUCCUACGGGAGGCAGCAGUGGGGAAUUUUGGACAAUGGGGGCAACCCUGAUCCAGCAAUGCCGCGUGUGUGAAGAAGGCCUUCGGGUUGUAAAGCACUUUUGUCCGGAAAGAAAACCGCUUCUCUAAUACAGAGGUGGGAUGACGGUACCGGAAGAAUAAGCACCGGCUAACUACGUGCCAGCAGCCGCGGUAAUACGUAGGGUGCGAGCGUUAAUCGGAAUUACUGGGCGUAAAGCGUGCGCAGGCGGUUCGCUAAGACCGAUGUGAAAUCCCCGGGCUUAACCUGGGAACUGCAUUGGUGACUGGCGGGCUAGAGUAUGGCAGAGGGGGGUAGAAUUCCACGUGUAGCAGUGAAAUG
rnacentral:rRNA from 1 species